CCUUCCUGAACAGUGCAUGCAUCUAUAAAUACAGGAAGCAUCAGCCUCACACUUUGCAGCUGAGCCCUUCAGCAACAGGCAUCAGUUCAACAAGGAACUUGAAGAUCUAGGAAGCGGAGAAAAACAGUCCUGCGGCUGCAGAAACCACCCGACCUUGGUGUUUGGCCAUUGUUGAAGCCGGACCUUUCUUGUUCCCAGAGAUGAAGCUGUUUCUCCUCCACCUUUCUGCUGCCCUUGUAGCUACAGCAAACUCCCUAAAUUGUGUCUGUACUGAAAGCCCAGCAUGCAGUACUGGUACCUGUUCAAUUCCAGAGUCAGAAGCCAUCUGCAUAACAAUAGCCCAGGAAAAUA